UGGCCGAUGAUGAUGACUUUAUCUAAUUGCCUGAUUUUCCUAUGAAGGCAAUUUUAGUCACUACCUCUUCUGAGGCCA